GCUCCCAUCGUCUAGCGGUCAGGACGCUGGCCUCUCACGCCGGAAACCGGGGUUCGAUUCCCCGUGGGAGCGCCA
rnacentral:tRNA from 1 species